rnacentral:rRNA from 1 species
CGGCGUGCCUAACACAUGCAAGUCGAGCGAAGCGGUUUUAAGGAAGUUUUCGGAUGGAAUUAAAACUGACUGAGCGGCGGACGGGUGAGUAACGCGUGGGUAACCUGCCUCAUACGGGGGGGUAACAGUUAGAAAUGGCUGCUAAUACCGCAUAAGCACACAGCUUCGCAUGGAGCAGUGUGAAAAACUCCGGUGGUAUGAGAUGGACCCGCGUCUGAUUAGCUAGUUGGUAAGGUAACGGCUUACCAAGGCGACGAUCAGUAGCCGACCUGAGAGGGUGACCGGCCACAUUGGGACUGAGACACGGCCCACACUCCUACGGGAGGCAGCAGUGGGGAAUAUUGCACAAUGGGGGAAACCCUGAUGCAGCGACGCCGCGUGAGUGAAGAAGUAUCUCGGUAUGUAAAGCUCUAUCAGCAGGGAAGAAAAUGACGGUACCUGACUAAGAAGCCCCGGCUAACUACGUGCCAGCAGCCGCGGUAAUACGUAGGGGGCAAGCGUUAUCCGGAUUUACUGGGUGUAAAGGGAGCGUAGACGGCGGAGCAAGUCUGAAGUGAAAGCCCGGGGCUCAUCCCCGGGACUGCUUUGGAAACUGUUCUGCUAGAGUGCUGGAGAGGUAAGUGGAAUUCCUAGUGUAGCGGUGAAAUGCGUAGAUAUUAGGAGGAACACCAGUGGCGAAGGCGGCUUACUGGACAGUAACUGACGUUGAGGCUCGAAAGCGUGGGG